UACGUAGGUGGCAAGCGUUGUCCGGAAUUACUGGGUGUAAAGGGAGCGCAGGCGGGAAGCCAAGUCAGCUGUGAAAACUACGGGCUUAACUUGUAGACUGCAGUUGAAACUGGUUUUCUUGAGUGAAGUAGAGGUUGGCGGAAUUCCGAGUGUAGCGGUGAAAUGCGUAGAUAUUCGGAGGAACACCGGUGGCGAAGGCGGCCAACUGGGCUUUAACUGACGCUGAGGCUCGAAAGUAUGGGGAGCAAACAGG
rnacentral:rRNA from 1 species